rnacentral:lncRNA from 1 species
UUCCAAGUCUCUAACUUUUGCCUGGAUUACCCUUGCGGGUUCUCCACCGAGACGCUCAUUUUUGCCUAAGCCGCCCUUUCGGGUUUUCAACUUAGCGAGCUAUUCUGUUUUUUUUUCAUUCUCGUUUUUUUAUUUGCAUAUACUUUUUUUUUUUUUUUUUUUUUUAGGCAAAGUAUCUCUUAACUGCAUCUGAAUUCAC